CUUUCGGAGCUGUGCGGCACGCUGAGCAGGAAUGGCAAUGUGGACCCCUGUGAUGGGACAUCUUGUGGGAUCUUACAGCCAGAUCUGUGGCAAAGGAGGAUGAAGGCUUAUGAGGACUCGUCAGGAAGCUGGAUAACAGAACGAGCGCAAUGUAAGCAAUUUUGUGUGUGCAUGUGGUCCCAUUACAAGGAAUACCCAAUGGCAAAUGAGCACUAAAGAUCCCUCAACCCACACAUCGAAUGUAUUGUUCCCUGAGAGCACUUGUAGAUAGAGGAGUUGGGUGGGAGAUCUGAAGUCAGGGCAUUGUUUCUAUGUAUCUGAGGAGGCUGGUUUUUGAUAUUUGUGGGGAACUAGUGGUCGUUAACUCAUUUACCCCCUAUUUGGUGGACUCUGGUUCCCCCAUCUUAAGUGCUGAGUCAGGGGCAGCUUUAACUAUUUGUUUGUUGUAGGUGCUAGAAUAGAAGACCAGAAAAUGAAAUGGUGGAGUUUGAGGCUGGAUAGACAGUUUGAAAGGUAAGUAUUGAAAAACACUUGAAUUUGGGUCAGUACGAAGGGACAUGCAGAGACUUUGAAUCAUCAAAACUCCAGCAUGCAUUGUCUUACCAAGAUGUUUAGAUAGGUGUGUUUUGGACAAUACUCGGGGUUCUUGUAAUGAUGUUGAUCAAAUGUCUGAGCUGAAAAUAACUUGUAGACAAUUUUUAACACUGAAGAACCCUGUG
ensembl:processed_transcript growth arrest specific 5